GCGAGCUGCGGGCCAGCGGCGGGGGUAAGACGUAGGGUGGAAGGGUUGUCCGGAUUUAUUGGGCGUAAAGAGUUCGUAGGCGGUUUACCAAGGCUGAUGUUAAAGACCAGAGCUCAACUCUGGCACGACAUUGGAAACUGGUAGGCUAGAGGCUGGUAGAGGCAAGGGGAAUUCUCGGUGUAGCGGUGAAAUGCGUAGAUAUCGGGAGGAACACCAGUGGCGAAAGCGCCUUGCUGGGCCAGUACUGACGCUGAGGAACGAAAGCCAGGGGAGCGAAAGGGAUUAGAUACCCUAGUAGUC
rnacentral:rRNA from 1 species